rnacentral:rRNA from 1 species
UCGCGACCCCAGGUCAGGCGGGAU